AUUGAACGCUGGCGGAAUGCUUUACACAUGCAAGUCGAGCGGCAGCGCGGCCUUCGGGCUGGCGGCGAGCGGCGAACGGGUGAGUAAUGCAUCGGAACAUGCCCAGUCGUGGGGGAUAACACUUCGAAAGAAGUGCUAAUACCGCAUACGUCCUGAGGGUGGAAGCGGGGGAUCGCAAGACCUCGCGCGAUUGGAGUGGCCGAUGUUAGAUUAGCUAGUUGGUGGGGUAAAGGCCUACCAAGGCGACGAUCUGUAGCUGGUCUGAGAGGAUGAUCAGCCACACUGGGACUGAGACACGGCCCAGACUCCUACGGGAGGCAGCAGUGGGGAAUUUUGGACAAUGGGGGCAACCCUGAUCCAGCCAUUCCGCGUGAGUGAAGAAGGCCUUCGGGUUGUAAAGCUCUUUCGGCAGGAACGAAACGGUGGGCUCUAACAUAGUCCGCUAAUGACGGUACCUGAAGAAGAAGCACCGGCUAACUACGUG
rnacentral:rRNA from 1 species